ACUUGAUCAAACUGUUAUGCUCUGGGACCAAAGAGCUGAAAAAUGCCAGGGCUUUCUACGUACACAAGGAAGACCAGCUAUUGCUUAUGAUGAGCAAGGGUUUGUUUUUGCAAUUGCUUUUGGUGGAUACAUAAGAAUGUUUGAUGCAUGCAAGUAUGAAAAGUUGCAUCCUUGAAGGACC